GAACCUGCGGAGGGAUCAUUACACAAAUAUGAAGGCGGGCUGGAACCUCUCGGGGUUACAGCCUUGCUGAAUUAUUCACCCUUGUCUUUUGCGUACUUCUUGUUUCCUUGGUGGGUUCGCCCACCACUAGGACAAACAUAAACCUUUUGUAAUUGCAAUCAGCGUCAGUAACAAAUUAAUAAUUACAACUUUCAACAACGGAUCUCUUGGUUCUGGCAUCGAUGAAGAACGCAGCGAAAUGCGAUAAGUAGUGUGAAUUGCAGAAUUCAGUGAAUCAUCGAAUCUUUGAACGCACAUUGCGCCCUUUGGUAUUCCAAAGGGCAUGCCUGUUCGAGCGUCAUUUGUACCCUCAAGCUUUGCUUGGUGUUGGGCGUCUUGUCUCUAGCUUUGCUGGAGACUCGCCUUAAAGUAAUUGGCAGCCGGCCUACUGGUUUCGGAGCGCAGCACAAGUCGCACUCUCUAUCAGCAAAGGUCUAGCAUCCAUUAAGCCUUUUUUUCAACUUUUGACCUCGGAUCAGGUAGGGAUACCCGCUGAACUUAA
rnacentral:rRNA from 1 species